rnacentral:rRNA from 1 species
UACGAAGGGGGCUAGCGUUGCUCGGAAUCACUGGGCGUAAAGCGCACGUAGGCGGAUUGCUAAGGUCAGGGGUGAAACUCCUGGAGCUCAACUCCAGAACUGCCUUUGAUACUGGCGACCUUGAGUCCGGGAGAGGUGAGUGGAACUGCGAGUGUAGAGGUGAAAUUCGUAGAUAUUCGCAAGAACACCAGUGGCGAAGGCGGCUCACUGGCCCGGUACUGACGCUGAGGUGCGAAAGCGUGGGGAGCAAACAGG